rnacentral:lncRNA from 1 species
CGUGCUGUGCCGGGCCACGCUGUGCCGUCGUGCCGGCCAGGCCGUGCCAUCAUCGUGCCUCGUGCCGGGGUAUGGCCCGAAGGCACGGCGGGCCACCAGGCCAAGGUCGUGUCAGGCCAGUAGCAGGUCUAUAUUUUCUUUUUUUUAUUUAGAAUUAGUAGGCUACAUUUCUUAACAGGCCAAUUAGGAUGGAUGAAUGAGCCAACAGUCCUACAUUUUUUUUAAAUUAAAAAGCUAUAUUUUUUACUGGACAAUUAAACAUCGGGCCGUGCCUGAGCCAUGCCACGGGCCACGGUGGCGGCCCAGGCACGGCUCGAUGCCUCGGGCCGGGCCGGCCCGGUCCCGGGCCCGGUAGUUGUCGGGCCGGGCCAAAAUGCCGGGCCGUGGGGCGGGCCAACGGACCACGGACUGCAUGUCCAACUCUAAUUUGGUGGUGCUCCACAGGUGUUCCACCAAUUUGGUGAAUCUUGGGGGAAGAUCUAUUGUUUUGGUGGAUCGGAUCUAUGGUGGAGCUGGAAGCGUUUGGUGAAAAAUUAGAUCUAGGAGUUUAGUGAAUCUAGAGCUAAUGAAUCUCUACCAAACAUGCCCUAAAAAUUUAUUCUCCGAGAAAUCCGCUCUACUCUCCAAACCUCAACCAACAAAUAAGCAUGCCAUAAUGACGCCGUUCAUGUAAAAGUAAAGUCAUUCUCUCAACUUCUCUUAUGCAAUAUGCAUUAUUAGGAUAAAGCAUGUGUAGAGCUUCUUCUUUUUUAGGACUAAUAAACAACUUGGACAAGCUGCCAUAACAAUGUUCAUAUGUAAAGAGCUAAAAAAGAAUACCACAGAAA